rnacentral:lncRNA from 1 species
CCCCGCGCCCGCGGAGCCCCGGCUCCCGCCUGCCCAGCCCCCUCCCGGGGAGCGAGCCGGGACCCAGGGGUGGGAGCAGAGUCGGGGCUUUGUGGCGCCGGGGGCCGAGGAAGAAUGAAACGUGCAGUUGGGAGUGUUGCUCGCGUCCCAGGGAGCAGCGCAGGCCCGAUUGUCUGCCGCCGAGAUGGCCUUUUGUUCGGAGCAUAAGGUUUAAGAAACACACACACGUUUUCUGGGGUCUCUUGUUGGAUGUAAAUGUGCCGCAUCCAGACGCUCGCGGNNNNNNNNNNNNNNNNNNNNNNNNNCGCCCCGCCCCGCCCCGCCCCGCCCCGGCGACCGGGACCGUUGGGACGCGGACCUCACCCAGACUUCUGGGCCGCCGGCACUGCCUUCGCCCCGUUUCACUCCAGACUAGCCAAGCAUCCCACGGAGAUGAUAAAGCAAACAAUAACAUCUGAUCAUGACGUCCACGAGAUAAUGUGCCCGGCAAAGUUCUUUAGGAAUCGGGAUGAGCGGGAGGGUGAGGGAGUGAUCGUUUCCCUUCGUUUUCCUUAAACGUGACUUUAAGAGAUAAAUGGUGAAGUUUAUACCUUGGCCUGCUGGACAGCCGGUCCGCCCCAUGGCACGAAGCUCGGCAUCAAAGGGCCAAAUUAGACAUUCGACCGGGAGCCCUCGAAGCUGAGGAUGUUACCUUUGAAGGACACAUAUAAGCAACAACAAUCAAGGAGAAGUGUAAGGAAAUAAGCAAGGUGAUGCUGAAUGCGAUUGUGCAGAUGACCAUAUUCUUACCUGUCUGGACCAAGGGUAAUUUUGGCUCAGGGAAGUCUGAUACCCAGGAGAUGAUCCGAGUUUCAACUCUCUGUGGUGAAAAGAGGGUGAAGAGCAGCAGAAAAUCCAAUUCUCUUGACCUUCAGGACAUGGAGCAGAACUCAUCGCUUCCACCUGGCCUACCCAAAUUUUAUGUACACAGUGGAAGUUCACGCUCUCAGUUUAUCUAUCCCCAAGUCCUAGGCCACUUCCAGAGGAGUCUGAGAAGCAGGGAUCAAGUGCUUGGGAAGCCAGUCAGAACCUUCAGUGCAUGCCUUUUUCACCUGCUACAAUGCUUUAUUGAUCUAAAAUGUGAUUAAACAGUAAAUAAACUUUCCCAUUAAAAUAAAACA